rnacentral:rRNA from 1 species
UGGGGAAUAUUGCACAAUGGGCGCAAGCCUGAUGCAGCCAUGCCGCGUGUAUGAAGAAGGCCUUCGGGUUGUAAAGUACUUUCAGCGAGGAGGAAGGCGAUGCGGUUAAUAACCGUGUCGAUUGACGUUACUCGCAGAAGAAGCACCGGCUAACUCCGUGCCAGCAGCCGCGGUAAUACGGAGGGUGCAAGCGUUAAUCGGAAUUACUGGGCGUAAAGCGCACGCAGGCGGUCUGUCAAGUCGGAUGUGAAAGCCCCGGGCUCAACCUGAGAACUGCAUUCGAAACUGGCAGGCUUGAGUCUUGUAGAGGGGGGUAGAAUUCCAGGUGUAGCAGUGAAAUGCGUAGAGAUCUGGAGGAAUACCGGUGGCGAAGGCGGCCCCCUGGACAAAGACUGACGCUCAGGUGCGAAAGCGUGGGGAGCAAACA